GAUGAACGCUGGCGGCGUGCUUAACACAUGCAAGUCGAACGGUGAAGGCGGAGCUUGCUCUGCUGGAUCAGUGGCGAACGGGUGAGUAACACGUGAGCAAUCUGCCCCUGACUCUGGGAUAAGCGCUGGAAACGGCGUCUAAUACUGGAUACGAGCUGCGAAGGCAUCUUCAGCAGCUGGAAAGAACUUCGGUCAGGGAUGAGCUCGCGGCCUAUCAGCUUGUUGGUGAGGUAACGGCUCACCAAGGCGUCGACGGGUAGCCGGCCUGAGAGGGUGACCGGGCACACUGGGACUGAGACACGGCCCAGACUCCUACGGGAGGCAGCAGUGGGGAAUAUUGCACAAUGGGCGAAAGCCUGAUGCAGCAACGCCGCGUGAGGGACGACGGCCUUCGGGUUGUAAACCUCUUUUAGCAGGGAAGAAGCGAAAGUGACGGUACCUGCAGAAAAAGCGCCGGCUAACUACGUG
rnacentral:rRNA from 1 species